CCUACGGGAGGCUGCAGUCGAGAAUCAUUCACAAUGGGGGAAACCCUGAUGGUGCGACGCCGCGUGGGGGAAUGAAGGUUUUCGGAUUUUAAACCCCUGUCAUGUGGAAGCAAAUUAAAAAGAUAGUACCACAAGAGGAAGAGACGGCUAACUCUGUGCCAGCAGCCGAGGUAAUACAGAGGUGUCAAGCGUUGUUCGGAUUCACUGGGAGUAAAGCGUGCGUAGGCUGUUUCGUAAGUCGUGUGUGAAAGGCGCGGGCUCAACCCGCGGACGGCACAUGAUACUGCGAGACUAGAGUAAUGGAGGGGGAACCGGAAUGCUCGGUGUAGCAGUGAAAUGCGUAGAUAUUGAGAGGAACACUCGUGGCGAAGGCGGGUUCCUGGACAUUAACUGACGCUGAGGCACGAAGGCCAGGGGAGCGAAAGGGAUUAGAUACCCCAAUAGUC
rnacentral:rRNA from 1 species